CUGACGAGUGGCGGACGGGUGAGUAAUGUCUGGGAAACUGCCUGAUGGAGGGGGAUAACUACUGGAAACGGUAGCUAAUACCGCAUAACGUCGCAAGACCAAAGAGGGGGACCUUCGGGCCUCUUGCCAUCGGAUGUGCCCAGAUGGGAUUAGCUAGUAGGUGGGGUAACGGCUCACCUAGGCGACGAUCCCUAGCUGGUCUGAGAGGAUGACCAGCCACACUGGAACUGAGACACGGUCCAGACUCCUACGGGAGGCAGCAGUGGGGAAUAUUGCACAAUGGGCGCAAGCCUGAUGCAGCCAUGCCGCGUGUAUGAAGAAGGCCUUCGGGUUGUAAAGUACUUUCAGCGGGGAGGAAGGGAGUAAAGUUAAUACCUUUGCUCAUUGACGUUACCCGCAGAAGAAGCACCGGCUAACUCCGUGCCAGCAGCCGCGGUAAUACGGAGGGUGCAAGCGUUAAUCGGAAUUACUGGGCGUAAAGCGCACGCAGGCGGUUUGUUAAGUCAGAUGUGAAAUCCCCGGGCUCAACCUGGGAACUGCAUCUGAUACUGGCAAGCUUGAGUCUCGUAGAGGGGGGUAGAAUUCCAGGUGUAGCGGUGAAAUGCGUAGAGAUCUGGAGGAAUACCGGUGGCGAAGGCGGCCCCCUGGACGAAGACUGACGCUCAGGUGCG
rnacentral:rRNA from 1 species